UUCUAUCAUUGCAGAGUUAUGGAGUCAUCAUUUUAAAUGACAAGAAAGAGAAUACUGAAGCAUGACUGCAACUAUUGACAGUGCAGUUGUACCUUUUUAAGUACAAAGCAAAAUUAACAUUGUGUGACAUCAUCUUGAAAAGUAACACAAUGCACAAUGCCUGUCCAAAGGGGAGAAAAACAAGGACAGAAAACCCCACAUGGAUCUAAGCUUUUGGCCAGGUAGAUUGUCAUUUCUACUUCCCCAACAGACAUUAGGGCUUUCUACAAGAACCUGACAACUGAACAAGUUAAUUAUGCUAGGAUAUGGUAAUCAGAAAGCAUGGCACACUAAAAAGAAGCUCAGUCAUUUGCCAAGACAGAAAAAAAAAGACACAUCUCAAAGGAAACUAAUUAAUCUGUGCAAGGAGAAAUGAACAUGAAUAAGAACUUAAAGAGAAGGGAGCCAUUGAAAUGGCUUCCCAGGCUGAAUUGACACAUGGAAAUCUCAUAGCAGGAUGAAAGGAAAAGCUUUCACUUUCUACAAACACUCAACUGCACACUCAACUCAAGCAGAUGCACAUCCAGCUCCAUAACCAUUCCAUUCCAAAUUAUAUUUCUAGUUGUUGUGGUUUUGUAUCACAAUAACUUUCUGCAUAUAUAAGACCCUUGUGAAAUAAAUUGGCAGUACGGAC